rnacentral:misc_RNA from 1 species
AAAUCAGAUGUUUAUAGUUUUGGGAUGUUAUUGUUGGAAAUGGUUCGAGGAAGAAGGAACACUGAUGCAAAGGGAAGUAGUUCAAGCAAAGUAUAUUUCCCAUCAUGGGUUUAUGACCGUGUAAAUGCAGGAGGAGGUUUAGACCUUGACAAUGUUAGUGAGAGUGAGGCUGCAAUAGCCAAAAAAAUAUGUAUAGUUGGGUUGUGGUGCACUCAAAAAAAUGCAUCAGAUCGUCCAUUGAUGGCCAAGGUGGUGGAAAUGUUAAAUAGUAGCACUGAUGAUAUGCGGCUGCCACCUAGUCCUUUGUCUUUCCCUGAUUACAUUGCUACCGAAGAGCCUCGAUCAGAUUCUUUGACAGAGUUGCUAAUACCUGAAACAGUGGAGCAAAGCUUGUAGAAUGACAGUUUGUUAGCUAGAAAAGAUAAUGAGAAGUGGAAAAGAGCAAAUGAUAAAUAGUUGUUAAAUAAUUUUGUCAAGGCACUGCAUGUAGGUGCCAAUAUCUGAAGUAGUGUGUUUUUCUCUUCUUGUUAUUUGAUAACUUUCAAAAAGUCCAAAUCCUUUAGCUCCACUAAGUGCCUGUAUGUUAUUGCUGAAAUAAUAUUAUCAGUGAAGUUUCAGAAAACAUUCACCAUUGAAGUAUAUGUCCUUAUCUUUAUAUGCAAUAGAUGUCUCUGUUUUUGCCCAAUCUUAGAAAGCAAAAUAGACUAUUGUACUGAGAGUAGG